rnacentral:rRNA from 1 species
UCAGGCCUAACACAUGCAAGUCGAGCGAGGACUUCGGUCCUAGCGGCGGACGGGUGAGUAACGCGUGGGAACGUGCCCUUUGCUUCGGAAUAGCCCUGGGAAACUGGGAGUAAUACCGGAUGAGCCCUACGGGGGAAAGAUUUAUCGGCGAAGGAUCGGCCCGCGUUGGAUUAGGUAGUUGGUGGGGUAAUGGCCUACCAAGCCGACGAUCCAUAGCUGGUUUGAGAGGAUGAUCAGCCACACUGGGACUGAGACACGGCCCAGACUCCUACGGGAGGCAGCAGUGGGGAAUCUUAGACGAUGGGGGAAACCCUGAUCUAGCCAUGCCGC